GAUGAACGCUGGCGGCGUGCCUAAUACAUGCAAGUCGAGCGAACAGACGAGGAGCUUGCUCCUCUGACGUUAGCGGCGGACGGGUGAGUAACACGUGGAUAACCUACCUAUAAGACUGGGAUCACUUCGGGAAACCGGAGCUCAUACCGGAUAAUAUCUUGAACCGCAUGGUUCAAUAGUGAAAGACGGUUUUGCUGUCACUUAUAGAUGGAUCCGCGCCGCAUUAGCUAGUUGGUAAGGUAACGGCUUACCAAGGCAACGUUGCGUAGCCGACCUGAGAGGGUGUCCGGCCACACGGGAACUGAAACACGGUCCAGACUCCUACGGGAGGCAGCAGUAGGGAAUCUUCCGCAAUGGGCGAAAGCCUGACGGAGCAACGCCGCGUGAGUGAUGAAGGUCUUCGGAUCGUAAAACUCUGUUAUUAGGGAAGAACAAAUGUGUAAGUAAAUAUGCACGUCUUGACGGUACCUAAUCAGAAAGCCACGGCUAACUACGUG
rnacentral:rRNA from 1 species